AGAGAGUUGGGUGAUGAUGAUAAGAAAAACAAAAACCAAUGAAAGCAAAACAAAGCAAAAGCCAAUUGUUAUAAUGAAAUGACCCUUGUCUCUCGCUCUCUCUCUCUCUCAUCCUUUUUUUUCUCUUUAUCUCUCAUAUUAAAGACCCCCUCUCUAUCUCUCUCUCUCUCUCUCUCUCUCUCUUGUACAUUGCAGCAGGAGGGUCUCUUGAAACUUUCCUUAUUUGACCGAGGGGUGUAGGUGAUGUGGGUGCGGUGUGUAAAAUUUUUCUGAAGUCGCUGCCGGCACUGUGGAUUAAUUCGGGUUCAGUUUUUGAGCUAAAUUAGAGCUUCCCCACCUCAGCCAGAUCGUUGGACCGAAAAAAGAACAAAAUCAAAUCCGAGUUGGGAUGGAUUUUGGAGAAACGUAAUUCUUUCCUUGAUGCAAAUUUCUCCAACAGGUUUGGAUGGAUGAAACAUCGAAAAGCAAAUUAAAUAGGUCGUAUUUUAUGAUUUGUGAUUUAUGAUAUUUUUCUCAUUUUAUGGCAUUAUUUCGGGUCUUGAAUCUUUCAGACGAUAUUACCAUUUGCAAUAUAUAGCUAUUGUUUGGCCUUAAAGGAUGUGCAUAGCAUAAUCUUGUACAUCUUUUAGUUGCUCCGCACCAUCUCUUUACUCUUAUUACCCCAAAAAAAAAAAAGCACCAUGUCUUUACUCUUUAGAUGCCAUAGCGAUUCUUGUAUCCGAGCUUUUUCUCCUAUUGAUAGAAAAUUUCCAUAUAUAUAACUCCAUAUAAUUAUAAAUGUAUAUAAUUUUGUUAUAAAAGGUGUAUAUAUUAGAUUAUAUGUUAUUUGCUAUCCGGUUAUAUAAAAAAACAUAGCGGCGUACAUAUAAUCAAAUAUACAUGCAUUUUAUAGCAAAAUUUUAUAUACAUAUUUAUAUCCUUUUUAAAUCAGUAUAUUUUAUAUGCAUAGUUAUAUCAAUAUAGCUAUUUGUCUUGGAUUUAAAAGAUUUAGCUAAGUUGCUCUUUUUAGUGGAAGUAGUGUAACAGUACAAUUAGAAUACCACAAUGAAAGUGUUAUUCUUAUAUGUAAACUAUAUUCUAUCUUAAUUUAUUGUUAAUUAGGAUAUGCCCAAGAUUGGAAUAUGAAACAUGCCAUGAAUUUUAUUUAAAAUGUGUAUUUAAUGAUAGAACAGAUUAUAAUUUUUUAAGGUUGUGAUCACUUCAAUUCAGAGAUGAUCAUGAGCAAAAUGGAACUAUAGGUGCUAUAUAUAUGGAUUGACUAGACAAUUAUUUUAUGGAAGAGAUGUUGUUUGAUAAUCUGGUAGUAAAAUGGCAUUGAAAUAAAUUUAUAUUAUGUACAUUAUGGUGAUAUAUAGGAAGAAAAUUCAUUUUACGUUUAUGUUUUGUAUUGCUAAAAGAAUAAUCAAUAUGAUAUUAAAAAAUGCUUACGUAGAUGUGAAAAUUAUUCAAGAUAUCCAUUGUUGUUACAUAGAGUUUCUACAAUUUCUAAAGACUAGGUGUGUAAAGAUAGUGAUGAAAAUCUCAAAUUUUAUGAAUAUAUAUAUAUAUAUAUAUAUAUAUCUUAAAUAAAUUCCAUAUGAUGGGGUCAUGUUUGCAUAAAUUGAAAUCCAAGCAGCUUAAUUUCAAUGCAUGCGGGACUAGAUUUGUUUUAAUGUCCCCAGAAGCUUAAUAUGAUUGUGUAUUUUUUGUUGAUUUAUGUGAAUUCUUGAAACGGCUUGUUUGCAUAUAGUCCAGAAAAUUGUCUCGUGACUAGUUAGUUCAAAUGGAAAAAAGUUAGAAAUUGCUAUAAAUCAAUGAUGUUGCUGCUAGUUGAUGUAAGAUAAUGUGGUUAAAAUUGACACGGUGAGUACUUUGGAAAUCUUGUCUUUAUUUGGUUUAUUUGAGGUAGCUUACAUGUGGAAGAGAGGAGGAAGCAACUUUUGUUGACAGUAGGAUGUGAGUUGUGAGCAAGAAAUCUCGCACGUGUAUUCUAAAGCUAAAAUAGUUUUUAAUGGACUAAUAAAAUUGUAUUUUCCUGUUAAGUGAACAUUCUUAUAACAAGAUGUUUUGAGUAAUAGUUACAUAUAUUUUGUGAAUGAAAUGACCCAUUGCUUGGUCUUAAGGUUAGGAAGUACCAGAUAUUUAGCUAGUGUUAUGACAAAUAUGUUGCCCUUAAUUAAUUGGUUUCUUCUCAUGCUUAUCCUAUUUGAUUAGAAAUGAAAGAAGAAAAAUUAAAAGAGGAACAUGUCCACCUUGCUUUGGAGCUGAUGCGUGAUUUUGAAGCAAUGGAAAGAUUAGGUGACCUCUUAUUAAAUUUUAUUUUUAACAUUUUUUAUACAUAUCUGCAUGUUUUAAGUUUUAACACUAGUCUAUGACUUUCAAGUUGGCAUACCCAUGUUGGUCUUGGGAGGAAUAUCAUUCUUACCAAGAUUUUACCGCAUUGGUUUACCUCUUAAACUCAUACAUUUUAACUAUAAUGUGCCAUUGGAACCUUUGAGAUGGAGUAACUAACUAAUUUUUUACCAUAAUGGAGGUUAGAUCAUUGGUUGAGUACCUGAGUUGAUUGGCUUUAUUUUGUUUUAUAUAUCAAAAUUUUGUUGGAAAUGCUGUAUUGUAGAUUUGGAACUCUUCUCCUUGGCCUUUGGUGAUGGCUUUGAUUGUUGGAUUUUUAAGUCUCUGAAUCAGCUUUUUUCUUAUCAUAUCUCAAUUGAUUUCAAAGCCCAAAGAAAAUACUUGAUAGUAAUUGUUAUGAUUGAAUUUGUUUUGUGAUAGGGAUAAUUGUUAUAGUAAAUACUUCUGUUUCCAGUGGGCCUUAAUUUGAUAUGACAGGUUGUUAAUCAUGCCUAUCUAUUUGGAGACCAUCUGACCAUAACGGUGUAUGAAUUUAUUGCAUUGCUCAACAUAUUUAUCAUAUAUGAGUGUUUGCAUACAAGUCCUUCUUGUUACGUUUUAGGUGCAUAGAAUUUUCCCUUUGAUUUAAUGGGUUCCCUAGUGGUAUAUAGACAGUUGAGAGUUUUGAAACAAUUCCUAUUGUGAUCCAUUUCAAGUUUAUAGAAACUUAUAUUACCAUGUUUUAUCUAAUUUUCAAUUUGUCUUGUAAUAUGUGUAGAUUCCUGUGCCAUUUUUGUGGACUUAAAAUAUAUGUUGUUCCAUAAGCAAAACUUAUGAAAACCAAGGGUGACAACAGACUUCUUUUUAUGGUUUUAUGUUGGUGGCAUGAGUGUAAUUUUUGUUCUCACAAGCAAAAAUAUACCCUAAAAGUACUUGAAGGGAACAAAUUUUUGUGGACUUAAAAUAUAUAUUUAUAUAUAUAUAUAUAUAUAUAUGUUGUUCCAUAAGCAAAACUUAUAAAAACCAAGAGUGAGACAAACUUCUUUUUAUGGUUUCAUGUUGGUGGUAUGAGUGUAAUUUUUGUUCCCUCAGGCAAAAAUAUACUGAAAAAGUACUUGAAAGGAACAAAUUGACAAAUAUAGCAUAAUUCAUCUGACUAAUGACAUCUAGAAAAAACCUGCAAUUAGACUCUUCAAAAAUUGCUAUAUAUUAUACAUUAUAGUAUCACUAAUGGUUGAUCUUUGUACUGAUUGGGUUUUGAGAUUUGACUAAAGAAAAGAAAAUUUAGUUGGGAAAAGUGAUGGCCCUUUUCUUUUUCUUUAACAAAGUUUAUGUGCUAAAUGACCCAUUGUUUUCUUGUCUGAUGUUGAAAUGUUUUGUUAAAAGUAUCAAGAUAUCAAAUCAAAGGGCUUAAUAUGAAAUCUAAAGUAGGAAUCUUCACUUUGGUAACUACUUUCUACAAUUUUCAUAAAAAAAAAAAAUAA